rnacentral:misc_RNA from 1 species
GGAAGGAUCAUUACCGAGUGCGGGUCCUUUGGGCCCAACCUCCCAUCCGUGUCUAUUGUACCCUGUUGCUUCGGCGGGCCCGCCGCUUGUCGGCCGCCGGGGGGGCGCCUCUGCCCCCCGGGCCCGUGCCCGCCGGAGACCCCAACACGAACCCUGUCUGAAAGCGUGCAGUCUGAGUCGAUUGUUUGCAAUCAGUUAAAACUUUCAACAAUGGAUCUCUUGGUUCCGGCAUCGAUGAAGAACGCAGCGAAAUGCGAUAACUAAUGUGAAUUGCAGAAUUCAGUGAAUCAUCGAGUCUUUGAACGCACAUUGCGCCCCCUGGUAUUCCGGGGGGCAUGCCUGUCCGAGCGUCAUUGCUGCCCUCAAGCCCGGCUUGUGUGUUGGGUCGCCGUCCCCUCUCUCCGGGGGGACGGGCCCGAAAGGCAGCGGCGGCACCGCGUCCGAUCCUCGAGCGUAUGGGGCUUUGUCACAUGCUCUGUAGGAUUGGCCGGCGCCUGCCGACGUUUUCCAACCAUUCUUUCCAGGUUGACCUCGGAUCAGGUAGGGAUACCCGCUGAACUUAAGCAUAUCAAUAAGCGGAGGAAAAGAAACCAACCGGGAUUGCCUCAGUAACGGCGAGUGAAGCGGCAAGAGCUCAAAUUUGAAAGCUGGCUCCUUCGGAGUCCGCAUUGUAAUUUGCAGAGGAUGCUUUGGGUGCGGCCCCCGUCUAAGUGCCCUGGAACGGGCCGUCAGAGAGGGUGAGAAUCCCGUCUUGGGCGGGGUGUCCGUGCCCGUGUAAAGCUCCUUCGACGAGUCGAGUUGUUUGGGAAUGCAGCUCUAAAUGGGUGGUAAAUUUCAUCUAAAGCUAAAUACUGGCCGGAGACCGAUAGCGCACAAGUAGAGUGAUCGAAAGAUGAAAAGCACUUUGAAAAGAGAGUUAAACAGCACGUGAAAUUGUUGAAAGGGAAGCGCUUGCGACCAGACUCGCCCGCGGGGUUCAGCCGGCAUUCGUGCCGGUGUACUUCCCCGUGGGCGGGCCAGCGUCGGUUUGGGCGGCCGGUCAAAGGCCCCUGGAAUGUAGUGCCCUCCGGGGCACCUUAUAGCCAGGGGUGCAAUGCGGCCAGCCUGGACCGAGGAACGCGCUUCGGCACGGACGCUGGCAUAAUGGUCGUAAACGACCCGUCUUGAAACACGGACCAAGGAGUCUAACAUCUACGCGAGUGUUCGGGUGUCAAACCCGUGCGCGCAGUGAAAGCGAACGGAGGUGGGAGCCCCCUUGCGGGGCGCACCAUCGACCGAUCCUGAAGUCUUCGGAUGGAUUUGAGUAGGAGCGUAGCUGUGGGGACCCGAAAGAUGGUGAACUAUGCCUGAAUAGGGCGAAGCCAGAGGAAACUCUGGUGGAGGCUCGCAGCGGUUCUGACGUGCAAAUCGAUCGUCAAAUUUGGGUAUAGGGGCGAAAGACUAAUCGAACCAUCUAGUAGCUGGUUCCUGC